rnacentral:lncRNA from 1 species
ACACUUUGGCAAAGUUGCAGUGGCCUGUUUGCUUAGGCACUGAAGUGGAUGACCCAAGUUAGGAUGACAACUUGCAGAGAACGCGGAUGAGACCUUCAGUUUGUGCCCACACUCAUUUGCAGCAACCCUAACAGAGAUUGCGAAGAUUUUCAAAGUGGGGCACCUCGAUUUCUCGAAUCUGUGGUGUGGCGAAUAUCCGUGUUCCUCCUGCUUAACUAGCCUGUUUGAAGGCACAGUUCAUUCUCGAGCAAUUCGUCACCUCCUGGGGGUCUUCUCUUCCCGUCUACAGGAGAGUGUGACUUCAGAAAGAACUUCGGAUUGGCCAAGGCCAUUAAAGCUGGUGAGCGACUUGGAAGUCAUUUAGAAAGGAACAGACCUUCAACCUCAAGCCUUUGCGGGCACUGGGAAAGUGUCUUCCCAAUCAAUCUGGCUUGCAGGCGGCAGGACCAACUCUGACCUGGCUUAUCUUGUACCCAUCCUAAAUACACCAAACUCAAGAGGUAGCCAGGGCCGCCUCAACACCGAGGUCUGAUUCUAUUUAUUCUAAAGACAGAGUUGGAGAUGGGCUACCAUUGGUGUUGAUUGAGAUGACAAGCAGUCACCUGAGCCCAUACAGCUGUGGGAGAAAGUGCUUGCUGCCAAGCUUGAUGACCUAAAUUGAAUACCUGGAACCUACACGACAGAAAGAGAGAGCUGACUGCUGAAAGAUGUCCUCAGAUCUUCACAUGUGCACAGUGGCACCUAUCCAACCAUGCACAUAGUAUAUUAAAAAUUAUUUUUUAAAAAA